AACCCAUCUUUUUCUGGUCUUGGCAGUUUGGGGAAGAUGAUAACAGCUAAGCCAGGGAAAACACCGAUUCAGUUAUUACACGAGUACGGCAUGAAGACCAAGAACAUCCUGGGGUAUGAAUGCGAAAGAUCUGAUGUGCAAAUACACGUGCCCACUUUCACCUUCAGAGUAACUGCUGGGGACAUAAACUGCACAGGUGAAGGAACAAGUAAGAAGCUGGCGAAACACAGAGCUGCAGAGGCUGCCAUAAACAUUUUGAAAGCCAAUGCAAGUACUUGCUUUGCAGUUCCUGACCCUUUAGUGCCUGACCCUUCCAAGCAACCAAAGAACCAGCUUAAUCCAACUGGUUCACUACAGGAACUGGCAAUUCAUCGUGGCUGGCGGCUUCCUGAAUACACUCUUUCCCAGGAGGGAGGACCUGCUCUUAAGGGAGUAUGCCACAAUUUGCUGGCUAGAGUCAUUUAUGGAAACUGGAAAGGGGGCAUCAAAAAACAAACCAAGAGAAAUGCUGCUGAGAAAUUUCUUUCCAAAUUUAGUAAUAUCUCUCCAGAGAACCAUAUCUCUCUAACCAAUGUAGGAGGGCAUUCUUUAGGAUGCACUUGGCAUUCCUUGAGGAAUUCUCCGGUGAGUAGAUCAACUUGCUGAAGCAAAGCCUCCUCAGUAUUCCAAAUACAGAUUACACCCACCUGCCUAGUGAAAUUGCCAAAGAACAAGGUUUUAACAUAACGUAUCUGGACAUAGAAGAGCUGAGUGCCAACGGGCAGUAUCAGUGUCUCGCCGAACUGUCGACCAGUCCUAUCACGGUCUGUCAUGGCUCGGGCAUCUCCUGCGGCAAUGCCCAGAGCGACGCAGCUCACAACGCUCUGCAGUAUUUGAAGAUAAUCGCAGAAAGGAAAUAAAGUUGGGGCACCUUAGAACAUCCUUCGGUAGCACUUCAGAGUUCUCUCCUCUCCUUCCCAAGUCAAACUUUUACUGUAAUGUUUGCGAGU